UGAGCUUACACGUGUACAGACAUCACAUAAUGAAGGCUGCCCCACCUAAACCUCCCGAAGCAGCACCAUCAACUUGGAACCAAGUGUUCAAAUGCCAGGAACCUGAGAGGACAUUUCCCACUCAAACCGUGAUGGUUACCAUCCUAUUGGAGAAACCUGUCAGGGAGUCCUCAGGAUCUUCAUGCAAGCACCUCACCAAUUGAGCCUUCAGCCACUGCAAUUUGGCCUGCAGCCGUGUCUAUGGUAUUUUAUUUAUUGCUAACUUAUUGGCUAGUGUGGUAGUUUGAAUAUGUUUGCCCCAGGGAAUAGCACUAUUAGGGGGUGUGGUCUUGUUGGAGUAGGUGUGGCCUUAUUGGAGGAAUUGUGUCAUUUUGGGGGUUGGCU
rnacentral:lncRNA from 1 species